UACGUAGGGGGCGAGCGUUGUCCGGAAUCAUUGGGCGUAAAGCGCGCGCAGGCGGCCGCGAGAGCCCGGCGUGAAAGCCCCCGGCUCAACCGGGGGAGGCCGUCGGGGACCUCGUGGCUGGAGGCCGGCAGGGGUGAGUGGAAUUCCCGGUGUAGUGGUGGAAUGCGUAGAGAUCGGGAGGAACACCAGUGGCGAAGGCGGGUCUCUGGACAGUUCCUGACGCUGAGGCGCGAAGGCCAGGGGAGCAAACGGG
rnacentral:rRNA from 1 species